ACUCCUACGGGGAGGCAGCAGUGGGGAAUAUUGGACAAUGGGCGCAAGCCUGAUCCAGCCAUGCCGCGUGAGUGAUGAAGGCCCUAGGGGUUGUAAAAGCUCUUUCACCGGUUGAAGAUAAUGACGGUAACCGGAGAAGAAGCUCCGGCUAACUUCGUGCCAGCAGCCGCGGUAAUACGAAGGGAGCUAGCGUUGUUCGG
rnacentral:rRNA from 1 species